rnacentral:rRNA from 1 species
AGUGGGGAAUAUUGGACAAUGGGCGAAAGCCUGAUCCAGCCAUGCCGCGUGUGUGAAGAAGGUCUUCGGAUUGUAAAGCACUUUAAGUUGGGAGGAAGGGCAGUAAGUUAAUACCUUGCUGUUUUGACGUUACCGACAGAAUAAGCACCGGCUAACUCUGUGCCAGCAGCCGCGGUAAUACAGAGGGUGCAAGCGUUAAUCGGAAUUACUGGGCGUAAAGCGCGCGUAGGUGGUUUGGUAAGUUGGAUGUGAAAGCCCCGGGCUCAACCUGGGAACUGCAUCCAAAACUGCCAAGCUAGAGUACGGUAGAGGGUGGUGGAAUUUCCUGUGUAGCGGUGAAAUGCGUAAAUAUAGGAAGGAACACCAGUGGCGAAGGCGACCACCUGGACUGAUACUGACACUGAGGUGCGAAAGCGUGGGGAGCAAA